ACCCUUGGCAUGUAGAGGUUCCCAGGCUAGAGGUCCAAUCGGAGCUACAGCCACUGGCCUACACCACAGCCAAAGCAAUGCCAGAGUUGAGCCGCAUCUGUGACCUACACCAAAGCUCGUGGCAAUGCCAGAUCCUUAACCCACUGAGCAAAGCCAGGGAUCGAACCUGCAACCUCAUGGUUCCUAGUGGAUUUGUUUCCACUGCACCACGAUGGGAACUUAAACUGCUAUCUUAAAUAAAUAAAGAUAACAAAAGCAUUGGGGGGAAAAUUAAGGCUUUUCUUUCUUUGUGGCAGUAUUUAAAAAAAUAUUUAGAGUAGAUGAAGUAGAAGUGAGGAGCAAACUGCUUAAGUCCAACUAUAACUUGACCUCAACUCAAAGGACAAGAGGGGGAAAAAGUUAACACUAUACUAAAAUUGUCAAGCAACUUCUAAAUUAGAUCAAUUGCCUUCAUAAUAAUCUUAGAACAAAAUGUUCUCUAAGAGCAGUUCUGAUAUGAAGAGCCAAAAAAUGGAAAACAUUCACUAUCAAUUUACUGCAGUCACCCAUAAACUAUUAUAAGAACAUUAUGUAUCGGGGUUCAAGCCAGCAAGCUAUUAAAGCAGACUGCUCUGGUGUCUUUUCAUUUUACUUUAAUGCUACUGAAGCAUUAAUAAGUCCUUGGGGGAAUUGUAGUUAUAUUGAAACAGUCUUAUCAUGUAAUCAAUUUUUCACAUAAUCUGAAUUUCUUAAGAUGAGCUCUAUUUCUUUUCUAUUCCUUGUUUGACCAAUGUCACUCCACCUUCACAAAUGCCAUCAUCAUUUUUUGUUUGUAUGGUCCAAGUCAUGCUUUCAUCUUGGAAAUAUAUCAAUUUAAAUAGUGCUAAUUGAUAUAGUUAAUGAGUGCCAAGACAUCGAGCACCCUUGACCCCAUUGCCACGUUAUGUGCUUCUGCUCAUGUAGAGAUCAAAGAACAAAUGAUGGAAAGAAUCAUCUUCAAAAAAAUAAGAAGAUGACACAUAUACACACCUUUCUUGGUUUGUUUGUUUGCUUAAAACUUUGAUUGAGGGCAUAAAUAAUCUUGCUAAAAUUACUUUCCUUUAUCGUCCCUGGUUAAUUUUAACUUGUAAAAAAUUUCUAACUUAAUUUUUUUUCUUAUUUAAAGGAUAGUAAUGAUAUUCUGUCAAAACAUGAUUAACCCAAUGUUAAUUCACUAUUCACUGUUUUCCCUUGGUGACAUAAAUUCCAGGCAACUGAGGCAUCUGUCAAUUUAUUGUACUAAUGGAAAAUAUUAGUGCAUAUAAACUUCCUACAAAAUAAGUAGUCUCAGUAACUUUCACGCAUACAAAUCAACAAUGAUUCAAUAUGUAAUUGAAACUGCAGGAGAAGAGAAAACUUUAGUCAGAAGAAGGUUUAAUUUUGUAAAGAGUCAUUGAAAUAUAAACCUCAGCAAACUAGAUAUUUCUUCCCAGUACAAAAUCAACCACAAUUUACUAGCAUUACCCAAAGGUAAAUAUUCAUAGAUUUUUUUGCGAUUAAUACAUUUAUGAGUACAUGCGUAUGUAUAUGCAUACCUGUGUGCAAAUAUACAAUCUAUCUCUAGGCUGUUAAGAUCCAUGAACCAUGCUUCUUUUAAUCACCACUGUUUCUCCAAAUUCCAGCACAACACUUAUAACACAGCAUUUUCUCAACAUAUAUUUGUGAAGAAACUAUAAGUAUAAUUUGAAUGCAGAGGUACACAGUUUAACAUCCUAAAAUCCUUAAUAUAAAAGAAAUCCUGGGAAAGCAUUAGAGAUAACAUAUUUCUCAAUAGGUAGUUCAAUUUAAAUCUCUCUGUGAUAGCUUAUUGUCUUUUUCUUGGCCUAAUGCAACAAAGCCUACCAUCUUAAGUAUUAAUUUAUAGCAUACACUUUUCUUGAAGAGAUUUAUGGACAAUUCAGUCCAAAAUUAUUUUAUCAAUCCUUUCAUAUAAUAUUGAAACUAUUUUUCUUUAGUUGUGCACAGACCAUAACUUAUUUUUGCCUCACACUGCUUAUUUUAAUUAGUAGAUCUAGAAUAUCCCUGUUUUAUGUUUCUUGUACAACUCACUUAUGUAAUUAGUCAUAUUCCAAUCAAACUUACAUUAAAAUAUUAAGCAAUGAUUUCCACCUGCAAAAGUGUAUAAGGCAUCUGAGACCCACUUGAGGCAUAUGGAAGUUCCCAGGCCCGGGCUCGAAUCAGAGCUGUAGCUGCCGGCUUACACCACAGCCAUAGCAAUGCAGUAUCUGAGCCGCAUCUGCAACCCACACUACAGCUCACUGCAAUGCUGAAUCCUUAACCCACUGAGUGAGGCCAGGGAUUGAACUCACAUCCUCACAGAUACGAGACAGAUUCUUUACCACUGAGCCACAAUGGGAACUCCCAAUAAGGUUUUCACUGAAAUGGUUCCUUUAGACUCUUAUAAAGUGAAAAUAAUUUCAUAUGUUUAUAAGUGAGUCCACACAGUAGUAAAGAGUUGGUUUGUUUUGUCUUAUUUUACCAGACUUCAUGACAAGAUGCUUAAGCCAAUGUUUUAAUAAGAAAUGUUUUUAUAUUCAAAAGAAAAGCAAAAAUUAAAGAGGCGAAAAAAGAAAAACAACAACAACACUGAGAGCCAUUCUUUGAUAAACAGACACUGAAUUUUAGAGAUACCUCUGAAAGUUAACACUAUAGACUCCUUAAGAGCAUUUUUUAGUUCACUGCAAUAUCUACAGUACCUAGGAAACUGUGUGAUUCACAGUAAAAUCUCUAUAAAUAUUUAUUGAAUUGAAUUGAUUUGCAUACAUAGUUUCUGACAAAAAUACAACAGACCAGGGCUAAAUGAGGCAAGCAGUUUUGAAACUAUAAAUGCUCUGUGCUACCUACCUUUCUGGGUAGUCUGAUUAGAUAAAAUCAUAAAAUAGGCUACACAAGAAUCAGGUGUUAAUCUAAUUUAAAGGAAGUCAACAAAGAGAAUAUCUCCAGAACAUUCUUUUUAGGACCAAAAAAGAACUUUAAAAUCUCUACCUGAAAUAUCAACAUUUUAUGAAAUUUUAUUAUAUCUUGAAUUUGCUUUGAAAUAAUUGGAUAUGGAUAUGGGUUUAUUGAAUAUUUAUUGAUAUUGAAGCUAUAAUGAACACAUAGGGAUUUAUUAUAUCAUACUGUCUUCUUUUGUAUAAAUUUGAGAUUUUCUAUAAAAUUUAAAAAAAUGGGAACACACACAUACAUUACAUAUUUUAUUAUUUUCAAGAUAAUAUUUUAAAAUUUUAGAGGCUUCUGACUUUUCUCUCCUACCUCAGCAAAAAAAUCUAUAUCUUAUAUAUAUAGAUAGCAAUAAUUAAUAAAAGGGACAAAAAUUUCUUCCAUAAUUUUAGAAAAGUGGGAGCCAAGAAAAGAGAUAACUCCCAAAUUGCAACAGUUUCUCUCACAAGAAAUAGUGGGUUUUUUGUGUUUGUUUGUUUUGUUUUGUUUUUUGGGGGGGCCACACCUAUAGCAUAUGGAGGUUCACUGGCUAGGGGUCCAAUCGGAGCUACAGCUGCUGGCCUAUGCCACAGCCACAGCAAUGCCAGAUCGGAGCUGCGUCUGCGAUAUCUCACAGCACUGCCGGAUCCUUAACCCACUGAGUGAGGCCAGUGAUCAAACCUGUGUCCUCCUGGUUACUAGUCAGAUUCGUUCCCGCUGAGCCAUGACUGGAACUCUGAAAUAGUUUUUUAAAAAAUUGAGUCAAUAAAAUCCUGAAACAAACAUGAUUAAUGGUUACCAGUAAUAGAAAAACAUUUUCUGAACAGUGUGAAAACCUUAAGAUGGGGAUAGGGUUAUUAGAAAAAAGACAGGACUACAAAGUCAUCUAAACUUCCUUAUCUGGGAAAGGCAAAUGGUCAAUGCCCAUGAUUUUGUUUUUCCUUAUUGGGAAGAAAGCCAGAAAGGGAAGACAAAACCCUGCUAGUUUCUCAAAACUAAUUACCUUUAGUAGUAAAUAAGUACUUAGCAGAAUGUAAACAAAAGAGAAAAAAAUAAAGAAUACAUAGUCCUUUGAGGAAAGAGGAGGCUAGAAAAGAAGAGCCAUGUAACAGUCACAAACACUGUCCCUACCUGUCAAUUCUGGACUGCCAUGGACUGAAUGUCUGUGUUUCCCCCAAACUCAUGUGUUAAAAUCCUAAUCCCUAAUAUGGUGAUAUCAGAAUGAGGGGCUUUGGAAGGUAAUUAGGUCAUGAGGUGGAACCCUUAUGAAUGGGAUGGAGCCAGAAAGUUAUGCAGCUAUUCCCUGCAGGUGAGGAUACAAUGAGAAGUCAGCUGCUUGCUACCUGGAAGGUGGUUCUUACCAGGCCCUGAGCAAGUUGACACCACAAUCUCAGAUUUCCAUCCUCCAGAAGUGUGAGAAAUAAAUUUCUGUAGUUGAUAAAUUACUCCAUUUAUGGUAUUUUUGCUAUAGCAGCCGAGCUAAGAUAUAGUCUAAUGUUGCAAUAGAGAAACUUAACAAUAUUUCACUCAUUUGUCCUCACUGCCUGAAAAAGGACGAGAAAGUAUGGUGGGGAGAACAGGUGAAUGGGAGAAUCUAAGCACCUGGGCUGACCAGCUGUCAAAGUACAAUUUUAGUUCUCAAACAAAAGAUCAGAAGAUACAUCAGUUAAGUUUGGAUUCAGGUAGGGUGGGAAGAGCACCAAGGAGUUUUUACUCACACAAUUUUCAAGCUACAGAUUAAGGAUUAUAUAGCAAAAUGUACAUUUCAUAUUAAAGGAAACAAUUACAUAAAAAUCAUACAAAUAAAUAUGUAGCAUGAAAAAAUAUGUAUUUGAAGAAUGCAUUCCAGAAGAAAACCUAACCCAAGAAACAAAUAAAAACCAACAAAAACAAGAAUAAUGCAAAUAUCCAAAUAGAAAAAUGGUAAAAGGAAAUAAAAGCAUGGCUCAUAGAAAAAAUAUAUAAAUGUCUAAGAAACAUAUUAAAAGAUGCCAAUCUUAUAUACACAUACCAUUUUCCCUUAUCAUAUUGAUAAACUUACUCAGGGUUGGAAGACCAUAUAAGAAACUGAUAUCAUACAUGGUGAGAGAGUAAAUACUUUGGAAGGCAACUAAGAAGUAACUCUCAAAUUUUAAAAUUUAUGGUAAAUUUCAAUCAGAAAUUCACAUCACAUAUAUAAGUUUGUUUAGACUCUACUUCCUAUACUCUUGUUCCCUGAUUUACCAAAAAAAGUUUGACAUCACAUAAAUUGGGGACAAGGAGGUAAAUCAGUUAUUUCUAAAAACAAAGAGAUACAAAAAUCAUUGAAGUGAAUCUCAGUUUUAAUCCAUGUUCUCUCAUUAAUUUGUCUUUUCAUUAGAAAUUCACCUCCCCUCUCUAGGACUGCUCCUUCACAUGUAAGAUUAAUUAUUCGAGAUUUUUAGAAUGUUCAGGGACUCUCCCGUCUCCCAAAUGCUAUUUAAAAAGAAGUCCCCUUUAUAACUUACCUACUCAUCAUCAGGAACAUUGUCAUGGUU
rnacentral:lncRNA from 1 species